UGAGGAAUAUUGGACAAUGGGUGAGAGCCUGAUCCAGCCAUCCCGCGUGAAGGAUGACGGUCCUAUGGAUUGUAAACUUCUUUUGUACAGGGAUAAACCUACUCUCGUGAGGGUAGCUGAAGGUACUGUACGAAUAAGCACCGGCUAACUCCGUGCCAGCAGCCGCGGUAAUACGGAGGGUGCAAGCGGUAUCCGGAUUUAUUGGGUUUAAAGGGUCCGUAGGCGGACUUGUAAGUCAGUGGUGAAAUCUCAUAGCUUAACUAUGAAACUGCCAUUGAUACUGCAGGUCUUGAGUAAAUUUGAAGUGGCUGGAAUAAGUAGUGUAGCGGUGAAAUGCAUAGAUAUUACUUAGAACACCAAUUGCGAAGGCAGGUCACUAAGAUUUAACUGACGCUGAUGGACGAAAGCGUGGGGAGCGAACA
rnacentral:rRNA from 1 species